CAGUAGCCGCGGUAAUGCGUAGGGGGCAAGCGUUAUCCGGAAUAACUGGGCGUAAAGGGUGCGCAGGUGGUUUAACAAGUUAGUGGUGAAAGGCAUAGGCUCAACCAAUGUAAGCCAUUAAAACUGUUUAACUUGAGUGCAGGAGAGGAAAGUGGAAUUCCUAGUGUAGCGGUGAAAUGCGUAGAUAUUAGGAGGAAUACCAGUGGCGAAGGCGACUUUCUGGACUGCAACUGACACUGAGGCACGAAAGCGUGGGGAGCAAACAGGAUUAGAUACCCCCGUAGUCCCUGUCUCUUAUACA
rnacentral:rRNA from 1 species